rnacentral:rRNA from 1 species
AGUGAACGCUGGCGGUAGGCCUAACACAUGCAAGUCGAACGGCAGCACAGUAAGAGCUUGCUCUUACGGGUGGCGAGUGGCGGACGGGUGAGGAAUACAUCGGAAUCUACUUUUUCGUGGGGGAUAACGUAGGGAAACUUACGCUAAUACCGCAUACGACCUACGGGUGAAAGCAGGGGAUCUUCGGACCUUGCGCGAUUGAAUGAGCCGAUGUCGGAUUAGCUAGUUGGCGGGGUAAAGGCCCACCAAGGCGACGAUCCGUAGCUGGUCUGAGAGGAUGAUCAGCCACACUGGAACUGAGACACGGUCAAGACUCCUACGGGAGGCAGCAGUGGGGAAUAUUGGACAAUGGGCGCAAGCAUGAUCCAGCCAUACCGCGUGGGUGAAGAAGGCCUUCGGGUUGUAAAGCCCUUUUGUUGGGAAAGAAAAGCAGCAGGUUAAUAUCCCGCUGUUCUGACGGUACCCAAAGAAUAAGCACCGGCUAACUUCGUG